CAAUAGCGUAUAUUAAAGUUGUUGCAGUUAAAAAGCUCGUAGUUGAAUUUUUGCUUGCCGCCGAUGUCGGAACUUCCGUACGUUCGGCGGCGUGCAUCCUUGGGUGGAACCUGUGUGGCAUUAGGUUGUCGUGCAGGGGAUGCUCAUCGUUUACUGUGAAAAAAUUAGAGUGUUCAAAGCAGGCUUACGCCGUUGAAUAUAUUAGCAUGGAAUAAUAAGAUAGGACCUUGGUACUAUUUUGUUGGUUUGCGCACCGAGGUAAUGAUUAACAGGGACAGUUGGGGGUAUUCGUAUUCCACUGUCAGAGGUGAAAUUCUUGGAUUUCUGGAAGACGAACUACUGCGAAAGCAUUUACCAAGGAUGUUUUCAUUAA
rnacentral:rRNA from 1 species